rnacentral:rRNA from 1 species
AACGAACGCUGGCGGCAUGCCUAACACAUGCAAGUCGAACGAGACCUUCGGGUCUAGUGGCGCACGGGUGCGUAACGCGUGGGAACCUGCCUUUAGGUUCGGAAUAACUCAGAGAAUUUUGAGCUAAUACCGGAUGAUGUCUUCGGACCAAAGAUUUAUCGCCUUUAGAUGGGCCCGCGUUGGAUUAGCUAGUUGGUGGGGUAAAGGCCUAACAAGGCGACGAUCCAUAGCUGGUAUGAGAGGAUGAUCAGCCACACUGGGAGUGGGACACGGCCCAGACUCCUACGGGAGGGAGGAGUGGGGAAUAUUGGAAAAUGGGCGAAAGCCUGAUCCAGCAAGGACGGGUGAGUGAUGAAGGCCGUAGGGUUGUAAAGCUCUUUUAACCGAGAUGAUAAUGACAGUAUCGGGAGAAUAAGCUCCGGCUAACUCCGUG